CCUACGGGUUGCAGCAGUGGGGAAUAUUGCACAAUGGGCGCAAGCCUGAUGCAGCCAUGCCGCGUGUGUGAAGAAGGCCUUCGGGUUGUAAAGCACUUUCAGCGGGGAGGAAGGCGGUGAGGUUAAUAACUUCAUUGAUUGACGUUACCCGCAGAAGAAGCACCGGCUAACUCCGUGCCAGCAGCCGCGGUAAUACGGAGGGUGCAAGCGUUAAUCGGAAUUACUGGGCGUAAAGCGCACGCAGGCGGUCUGUCAAGUCGGAUGUGAAAUCCCCGGGCUCAACCUGGGAACUGCAUUCGAAACUGGCAGGCUAAAGUCUUGUAGAGGGGGGUAGAAUUCCAGGUGUAGCGGUGAAAUGCGUAGAGAUGUGGAGGAACACCAGUGGCGAAGGCGGCUCUCUGGUCUGUAACUGACGCUGAGGCGCGAAGGCGUGGGGAGCAAACAGGAUUAGAUACCCUAGUAGUC
rnacentral:rRNA from 1 species